rnacentral:rRNA from 1 species
GAUGAACGCUGGCGGCGUGCCUAAUACAUGCAAGUCGAGCGAACAGAUGAGGAGCUUGCUCCUCUGACGUUAGCGGCGGACGGGUGAGUAACACGUGGAUAACCUACCUAUAAGACUGGGAUAACUUCGGGACACCGGAGCUAAUACCGGAUAAUAUACUGAACCGCAUGGUUCAAUAGUGAAAGACGGUUUUGCUGUCACUUAUAGAUGGAUCCGCGCCGCAUUAGCUAGUUGGUAAGGUAACGGCUUACCAAGGCAACGAUGCGUAGCCGACCUGAGAGGGUGAUCGGCCACACUGGAACUGAGACACGGUCCAGACUCCUACGGGAGGCAGCAGUAGGGAAUCUUCCGCAAUGGGCGAAAGCCUGACGGAGCAACGCCGCGUGAGUGAUGAAGGUCUUCGGAUCGUAAAACUCUGUUAUUAGGGAAGAACAAAUGUGUAAGUAACUAUGCACGUCUUGACGGUACCUAAUCAGAAAGCCACGGCUAACUACGUG